rnacentral:rRNA from 1 species
AGAGUUUGAUCAUGGCUCAGGACGAACGCUGGCGGCGUGCCUAAUACAUGCAAGUCGAGCGCGGGAAGCAGGCUGAUCUCUUCGGGGUGACGCCUGUGGAACGAGCGGCGGACGGGUGAGUAACACGUGGGCAACCUGCCUGUAAGACUGGGAUAACCCCGGGAAACCGGGGCUAAUACCGGAUAACACUUAUCAUUACAUGAUGGGAAGGUGAAAGGCGGCCUUUUGGCUGUCACUUACAGAUGGGCCCGCGGCGCAUUAGCUAGUUGGUGGGGUAACGGCCCACCAAGGCGACGAUGCGUAGCCGACCUGAGAGGGUGAUCGGCCACACUGGGACUGAGACACGGCCCAGACUCCUACGGGAGGCAGCAGUAGGGAAUCUUCCGCAAUGGACGAAAGUCUGACGGAGCAACGCCGCGUGAGUGAUGAAGGUCUUCGGAUCGUAAAACUCUGUUGUCAGGGAAGAACAAGUGCCGUUCAAACAGGGCGGCACCUUGACGGUACCUGACCAGAAAGCCCCGGCUAACUACGUGCCAGCAGCCGCGGUAAUACGUAGGGGGCAAGCGUUGUCCGGAAUUAUUGGGCGUAAAGCGCUCGCAGGCGGUCUUUUAAGUCUGAUGUGAAAGCCCACGGCUUAACCGUGGAGGGUCAUUGGAAACUGGAGGACUUGAGUGCAGAAGAGGAGAGUGGAAUUCCACGUGUAGCGGUGAAAUGCGUAGAGAUGUGGAGGAACACCAGUGGCGAAGGCGACUCUCUGGUCUGUAACUGACGCUGAGGAGCGAAAGCGUGGGGAGCGAACAGGAUUAGAUACCCUGGUAGUCCACGCCGUAAACGAUGAGUGCUAGGUGUUAGGGGGUUUCCGCCCCUUAGUGCUGAAGUUAACGCAUUAAGCACUCCGGCCUGGGGAGUACGGCCGCAAGGCUGAAACUCAAAUGAAUUGACGG